UACGUAGGUGGCGAGCGUUGUCCGGAUUUACUGGGCGUAAAGGGAGCGCAGGCGGAUUUUUAAGUGAGAUGUGAAAUACUCGGGCUCAACUUGAGUGCUGCAUUUCAAACUGGAAGUCUAGAGUGCAGGAGAGGAGAAUGGAAUUCCUAGUGUAGCGGUGAAAUGCGUAGAGAUUAGGAAGAACACCAGUGGCGAAGGCGAUUCUCUGGACUGUAACUGACGCUGAGGCUCGAAAGCGUGGGGAGCAAACAGG
rnacentral:rRNA from 1 species